ensembl:lncRNA
GAUUGGUUGUUUCACUUUGUGAGCAGACCAUAAGUCAUUGCCUGACCUCUUAGUGUCUUGUUGAAUACUCUGAUGUGCUCUUAGUGGACAUUUCCCGAAGACUUGUAUUGAUCCUGUGGGAAUCAUUUUGUUUUUGGAAAUGAUUAUCUUAAUCCUAUCAUGGUUUACCAUCAUGGUGUCUGCAGUACCACUUCCACAAGGAGGAGCCACUCAAGCUCUUGAAGCAACAAACCAGGGACUCGACACUCAGACGCCGGCCCCUUUAUCUCCUAAUGUGGUCCAACCACAGCCGGGGGUCUCCUAUCAGCUGGGUCCCCAGGGUGGUCCCCAGUUCCUGCCUCCCACACAGCACUACUGGUGGCCUUCGUUAGGGGGAAGUCCAAGGAUCAUUCCUCUGCAGCCGAGCAUCUACGGAUCCCAGCCUGCUGACCAGCCGACACUCCCACAGCAGCCUUCGAUUUUCCCUCCUUACAGAUACGUCCCACUGCUCUCGUCUCCCUAUGGGAAUCAACUGGUAAGAUGAUACAUAUCUAUUACCGAAAUACACUGACUUUGUUCUCGGGGACUGAUCCUCCCAUGCACUGAUGAGAGUGUACUGCUGCGGACUGAAUGAUAGACUUCAGAUGGAAGCUGCUGUCACAACCUUGAAAGGUUCGGCCUGGGGGGGGACUGUUCUGUCAACGUGUACUUUAGGAAAAUGGAAAAACAGUGACAGUGUAAUUGAAACAAAGAUAUUUAUACUGUGCUGCAAUCUGUCACUUGAUUUAUGAACCUGAGAUGAAAACCGGGACGUUGUGCCUCAUUUUGACAUGUUUUUCUGCUACAAGUGAUAUUAUAAUUGGAUCUGCCUUUUGGAAA